GCACGGGAGCCAGAGUGCGGCCCCAGCCGCCCAGAGAGCCCAACCCAAACAGCAGGUGUGGCGCCCAGGGAACCAGGGACUACCGGCCCCACGCAGCCAGGCCGGCCAGCGGAACUAACUUGAACGUCAACACUUUGCAUUUUGAUAUCCAGAAAAACAUGUACGCAAGGUUGGUUAAACUCUUUCAAUUCAGCUUCAAUGGUUACAAAAACAAUUAGGAAAACCUGGAUGCUAUGUUUGCCAAAGGCCUUAAAUUGGCUUUAGUGUUUAUAAAAAAACACAACAGUAUACUGAGCAUUCUAAAUGUGGUUGGGUUAGUGGAAAAACAACAAAAUCCGCUUUCACAAGUUCGUCGGAAGCCACUCUGACAGAAAUCAAUGAACGGGCGCUGGAAGCCGGCAGACCCGUCAGCGAUCCUGUUCUGUCUCCCUGUAAUGUUUGUCUGAUCUUGAAUGGGAUUGUGCUGAAAAUUGUAAUUUUCCUGAAGGAACUCUCCUGACGGAAUAAAUAAAGUACUAUCUAAUCUAUCUAAUCUAAAAUACUUUCUAUCUGCGUAAGUGUUUAUGAAAACAUUUAAUCAAAGACCCUUAAUUAUAUCCAUCCAUCCAUUUUAUACCGCUUGUCCCUUUUGGGGUCGCUGGAGCCUAUCUCAGUUGCAUUCGGGCGGUAGGAGGGGUACACCCUGGACAAGUGGCCACCUCAUCGCAAGGCCAACAAUGUUCACAAAAAAGGUGUAUGUUAAGUUCAAGGAAAGGCUUAAAUUUGUCUUUCCCGUAAGCGAAAACCAAAACAUUUGUCUUUGACAGUUACGCAUAUGUUGUGUUUUGUUGAAAGUUCGUACAAAAUUGACUGUGUUUACAAGUGAGAUUUAAACCCAGAGAGAAUCCCUAUGACCUCAGAGGUUUAGCUUUCUUUCAGAAAGCAAAAAAUAAGAACAAGCUUAAAAAGUAGAUGUGUUUCUGUUAGAGGAGUUCAACUGUGGAACAUCUUGGAUGAUUCCUUAAAAUGUUCCAGUUCCAUUCGCACAUUUAAAAAACACUUUAAGACCAAUGUCUUGAAAAAAUAUAUCACUCUUGAAUCAACAUCUGCGUUCAAAAGACUCCGGCUUAUUAGUGAUUCCUAGAGCUCAAAAAAAGUCUGCGGGCUAUAGAGCGUUUUCCGUUCGGGCUCCAGUACUCUGGAAUGCCCUCCCGGUAACAGUUCGAGAUGCUACCUCAGUAGAAGCAUUUAAGUCUCAUCUUAAAACUCAUCUGUAUACUCUAGCCUUUAAAUAGACCUCCUUUUUAGACCAGUUGAUCUGCCGCUUCUUUUCUUUCUCCUAUGUCCCCCCCUCCCUUGUGGAGGGGGUCCGGUCCGAUGACCAUGGAUGAAGUACUGACUGUCCAGAGUCGAGACCCAGGAUGGACCGCUCGUCGGGACCCAGGAUGGACCGCUCGCCUGUAUCGGUUGGGGACAUCUCUACGCUGCUGAUCCGCUUGAGAUGGUUUCCUGUGGACGGGACUCUCACUGCUGUCUUGGAGCCACUAUGGAUUGAACUUUCACAGUAUCAUGUUAGACCCGCUCGACAUCCAUUGCUUUCGGUCCCCUAGAGGGGGGGGGGUUGCCCACAUCUGAGGUCCUCUCCAAGGUUUCUCAUAGUCAGCAUUGUCACUGGCGUCCCACUGGAUGUGAAUUCUCCCUGCCCCCUGGGUGUGAGUUUUCCUUGCCCUUUUGUGGGUUCUUCCGAGGAUGUUGUAGUCGUAAUGAUUUGUGCACUCCUUUGAGACAUUUGUGAUUUGGGGCUAUAUAAAUAAACAUUGAUUGAUUGAUGGUAGUUAAUACUAUGAUUAAUGUUAAUUAAAAACUAAACAUGAGAUAUAAAUAAUAAUAGAAGUACAAUUUUUUGUAUAUAUUGUACAUAUAAUUAGUGCAAAGGUUUAAUAUGUACACAGGGAUAUUUCACAUGCCCGUACUGUGUAUAAAAUUGAACUACGUUCAUGUUGUUUAUAAUGUGUAUUUAUAAUAAGUUGUGCAAAGGACAUUUUAUAAUUUUCGGAAGUUUAUUUUGUACUUGAAAUUUUUUAUAGGGUUAGGCGCAAUAAGUGUUUAACUUCAGCCUAAACCCUUUCGGUCUGCAACAUUUUUUUAUUUUCAAUCUAUGAAUGUAAAACUUUUUAUUUUCAAUCUGUGAAUGUACGACUGUUUGUUUGCUUUGUUGACCAUUGACCGAAGAACAAUAAACACACUUUGGCCUUAAUGAAAA